rnacentral:rRNA from 2 species
UGAGUAAUGUAUAGGAAUCUACCUAGUAGUACGGAAUAAUUGUUGGAAACGGCAACUAAUACCGUAUACGCCCUACGGGGGAAAAAUUUAUUGCUAUUAGAUGAGCCUAUAUUAGAUUAGUUAGUUGGUGAGGUAAAGGCUUACCAAGACAAUGAUCUAUAGCUGAUCUGAGAGGAUGAUCAGCCACACUGGAACUGAGAUACGGUCCAGACUCCUACGGGAGGCAGCAGUGGGGAAUAUUGGACAAUGGGCGAAAGCCUGAUCCAGCCAUGCCGCAUGAGUGAAGAAGGCCUUCGGGUUGUAAAGCUCUUUUAGUGAGGAAGAUAAUGACGGUACUCACAGAAGAAGUCCUGGCUAACUCCGUGCCAGCAGCCGCGGUAAUACGGAGAGGGCUAGCGUUAUUCGGAAUCAUUGGGCGUAAAGGGCGCGUAGGCGGGUUAGUAAGUUAAAAGUGAAAUCCCAAGGCUCAACCUUGGAACUGCUUUUAAAACUGCUAGUCUAGAGAUUGAAAGAGGAUAGAGGAAUUCCUAGUGUAGAGAUGAAAUUCGUAAAUAUUANGAGGAACACCAGUGGCGNA